UACGAAGGGUGCAAGCGUUACUCGGAAUUACUGGGCGUAAAGCGUGCGUAGGCGGUUUGUUAAGUCUGAUGUGAAAUCCCCGGGCUCAACCUGGGACCUGCGUUGGAAACUGGCGAUCUAGAGUACGGUAGAGGGUGGUGGAAUUCCCGGUGUAGCAGUGAAAUGCGUAGAGAUCGGGAGGAACACUCGUGGCGAAGGCGGCCACCUGGACCAGUACUGACGCUGAGGCACGAAAGCGUGGGGAGCAAACAGG
rnacentral:rRNA from 1 species